UACGGAGGUGGCGAGCGUUGUCCGGAAUUACUGGGCGUAAAGCGUGCGCAGGCGGUUUUGUAAGUCUGUCGUGAAAUCCCCGGGCUCAACCUGGGAAUUGCGAUGGAGACUGCAAGGCUAGAAUCUGGCAGAGGGGGGUAGAAUUCCACGUGUAGCAGUGAAAUGCGUAGAGAUGUGGAGGAACACCGAUGGCGAAGGCAGCCCCCUGGGUCAAGAUUGACGCUCAUGCACGAAAGCGUGGGGAGCAAACAGG
rnacentral:rRNA from 1 species